rnacentral:rRNA from 1 species
GACAGGGGAUGCAAGCGUUAUCCGGAAUGAUUGGGCGUAAAGCGUCUGUAGGUGGCUUAAAAAGUCUCCUGUCAAAGAUCAGGGCUUAACCCUCGGCCGGCAGGAGAAACUCUUAGGCUAGAGUUUGGUAGGGGCAGAGGGAAUUCCCGGUGGAGCGGUGAAAUGCGUAGAGAUCCGGAGGAACACCAGCGGCGAAGGCGGCAUCCUGGACCGGUAUUGACGCUGAGGCGCGAAAGCUAGGGGAGCAAACGGG